rnacentral:rRNA from 1 species
GACAGAAGGUGCAAGCGUUACUCGGAAUUACUGGGCGUAAAGCGUCUGUAGGUGUCUUGUUACGUCUUGGGACAAAACGCGGGGCUCAACCCCGCGCUCUCCUUGGAUACGGACAGGAUCGAGUCACUCAGAGGCAUCUGGAAUGUCGUGUGUAGGGGUAAAAUCCGUAGAUACACGAUGGAACGCCAAAAGCGAAAGCAGGAUGCCAGGGGUGUACUGACACUCAGGCACGAAAGCUAGGGGAGCAAACAGG